rnacentral:snoRNA from 1 species
ACCCCACUUAAUUAAGCCGACUUUUAGAUGUUACUCAAUAUUCUAGAAGUGUGCUAAGGGUGGGCAAAUUAAAGUGAUGAUAUGUGUAUGGUGUCAUUCUUUUCUUAGUAGAGGAUACCAAAGAAAUUUUAUGCACAA